GCAUACCUCUUCAUUUAUGUCUCAUGACUUGUAUCGUCUUGAGCGUAUUGUGGGUUUCCUGUGUUGCAUACCUAACUGAUGGCAUCGUUUUGAUUGAUUGGAGUCCCUUUUCGUCUUGUGUUGCUUUUGUGAUGCAUGAUGAACUUUGAAUCGGCCUCUAUGUUCCACCAUGUUGAUGCUAGUGUUUUGAUGUUGUGGCCCAUUGAGUGUUGCUUGGUUUCGUGGAUACARAACAUUAUUUGGGCAUAGGGUCACUUGUGACUCUUGUUUUGUCCUUUAUCAGUGUUCUUUAUAACGACGGUUCAUGUGCGCCUAGGCUCGUACCUGCGCGAUGUUCUUUGUCGAAGAGGAAUGCUACCUGGUUGAUCCUGCCAGUAGUCAUAUGCUUGUCUCAAAGAUUAAGCCA
rnacentral:misc_RNA from 1 species